UAGUUCGGCGCACUUUCUAAAACAGACAAAUUGCUUAAGCUCAUAGAGGAAGAUGUGCCAAUCCACCCAGAAAUCUCACUACCAUCCACAAAGUUGUCACUAUCCAUCGAGCCUGGCAAACCAUCCACCUUCACGUGGCCCACCUGAGAAAACUUGCUACCCAGCUCCCUAGUUAACCUAACAGCAGUACUGCCACCCUUAUUUGAAACCCCCAAAUUAAAGUUUACAAUAAUUUCAUAUCCCUUAGAUUUGAAACCCUUAGAUUUCUCACCAUCAUCAGCAAUAACUUCUUCAUCCUUAUCUAAGGAAACCAAUGUAGAGAAUCUAGAUCCCCUAGAAAAUUACCCCAGAUUUUCCUCUUCAAACCUUUGUUUGCUUGAUAUCCUCCGUGAUUUCCUCUCAACAACCAUCCAUAGCCCGUAGGCAUCUUCCUCAUUUGUCAUGCCAACCACCACCGUAGGCGUUUCAAGUUAAGGGUUUUGUUGCUCCAAUUGCGUCGCGCUCCCGACUCGAGAACAAGCCUCAUUGAAAUAACCUUAACAUCCACUGGAGAAACAAAUAACUGCAAGCGCAGAACCCUUUCGCCGAAAUUGCUGUCAACUCAGAGUCUACUGUUCCCUUCAGAGUGCAUCUGGGCAUCGAGUCAAACUCGAGCCGUGCAACAUAUGACCCGGUUCGAAUCAGUCGGGGAGAGGAGGGAGAAGAGAAUCGUAGUAAAGGAUAAGAGAAGAAAUUGAGUAAAGAAUGUCUGCUAGCUCAGAUGGAAUCUUUUCUAGAGAAGUUCCUCCAUAAGGGUCUAUACAUGUAUAACAAAAUUAGUUUACAUUUUCCAUCUAAAUAAAUCAAAUUUGUUUCUCAAA